AUCGUCUUACUCCAAGACUCAGUCAAAGUGGGGGCUAACUGUAGACACCUACUUUUGUCCCCAUUCCCGAAAGGGAAAGGUUUGAUGAUGAAAGCAUAAAAACUCCACUUGACAACGCAUCUCCUAUAAAAUAAACGAAUCUCGAUUCCCCAUUUCAUUUCACCCGAAACCUGCUAUUUAUGGAAACCUGCUGAAAAAAGUAACUGCCGUAAAAAGUAGCGUCUAAAAGUGGCAAAUCAUAAAAGAUAGAAACCUGUCAGAAUUAUAUGUUGCAUUCCAACAUAAAUCCUAAAUGAGAUAGAAAACUGCGAGAAUCCUAUUCCUAAUAUGAUUCGGAAAUAAGAGUUACGUAUUAAUUAAAAUCCUAACGAGCCUAGAGUUCGUAACGGGCCCAGACGCAUUCCGUCAUGAAAUUGAUACGCACUAAAAGGCUCGAUUAAGUCUCAAACACUACGGAUUUCAGGAAUCCGAAUCUGACAAAGAAACGGCUCAAACAGCAAUUUCAACGCCCAUCCCUGGGCGCUGAAAUUGCCUGGAUCCUAUUUUCAACGCCCAGAGCUGGGCGCCGAAAUCUUUGACGCCCAGCCCUGGGCGCUGAAAGUACCUGGGUACGUCUCUUUUCCUAAUUCUUUGCGGAUUAGAACUCUGCAAUUCUAUCUUUUCACGAACUCUUCCCUAUAAAUAGGCCCCUAGUUUCGACGUGAAACAACACACAACAACACAUAAUAUAUUCUGAGUAUUGACUCUAAACCCCUUAGCCUAAGCCUCUCGCUGCGAAACUGUUCACGCGUUCUGUCGCAAUCGAUCCAUAAAUCGAACAGAACGUAUCCUGUCCCAUAAUUGAGAUUCCUUAAAUAAAAAGGAGAAAUAGCAAAGUCAAAGUGGUUAGUUUUCUGAGAACCGUGACGCACCUCUCAAGGGUGCGUCGUGAUGUGUCCCUUUUCGAUGAUUUAACUGCUUUCCUCGCCCUUUUUAUGAACUGUUAAACUAACCUAAUAUGAUUGUUCUAUCACGCCUAACAAAUAUAAUAUUUUUGGGGAAUCGGAUUAUCAUGCUAGGUCCCUUAAUGUUAUUUAAAUCAGAUAAUCACGAUCGAAUUAGUAUUAUAUGUUGCAUAUUGCUAAAAUCAACUCAGAUUAGUUUAAUAGUUAACGCAUGUCCCUUCAAUUAUUUAUGCUGAGCUAGUAAGGAUAUACUGCCUCUGGAGUUAUCGACGAGCGAAUUACUGCUCUCGGUAGUUACAGUCCCCCGAACCCUCAAUCUCUACCUUGCGGGUGUAUAUUGAGAGAUCCCCACACCAGGGAUCACAAGGGAACCUACGGCCGUCGUGGUCAAACAUAAUUACACUCCCUUUAUGUCAGGAUAACCGGGUUUUGUCAGUUUUUCCCAUUGUUGUUAAAAACUGAAUAGCUACUCCUAUAUUACUAGUCAAUUGGGUGUAUACUCACAGGAAAUCCAAUUACACUUGAUUGAAUAAAAAUAAUCGUCACACCCACGAGGGACAAGGUCACGCAUUAGCCUCGCGCUUUUUCGACCCCCUCACACUCACUACCGACGGUGUCUUCUGUGGCGCGUUCUUUAAUUCUAGUGAAAUGACGUCUUCGGCUUGAUCCUGCGAACAAUUUGUACUUUCCUUGAGGCCUGGCCAAAGCCGGAUUACUACCCCAAGGAAAGAGACGGAUACAUGCAAAAUAAUUUCAGGCAUUUCUGAAGGAUUGACUAUUGGAUCACCAAUUGUAGUGAAUGCACCAAAUACUGACCAAAGAGGAAAUGUAAGAAUUUUGGCUACUUGUUAAAGUGAUGUUAAAACUUGAACUUCAGUUAUGUCUAAUGUCUAAAGUGUUAGCUUUUAUGUGUUCAUUCUUACACAUCUUGCCUAUAUAAUAAUGGCAGUAUGAUGGGAGGGAAUAGAAAGAGAUGGGAACAAGUUCCCUUCUUUGGAUAAGGGAUUGGGGGAAAGGAAAGGACGGGAGGGUUCUAUUUUUCCUCCCUUUUUAAUUGGAGAGAUUUGGAAAGGCAAUGGAGCCCCCCCCCCCUCCCCUCCGUUUUUCCUCCCAUUUUGUUUUUUUUCUUUGAAGAUCGUCCAGGGAGCAUUGAAGCUUUCUUCUCCAGAGUUAGAUCAAGGCAAGGUGGGCCAGCCCUCAAUAGGAGGAGUGUAAGGAGAAACAUGAGAAUGAAGGCCAGGACACUUGAGCAAGUUACUUCCACUACUAGAUCCUAGUUUUUCUAGGUUAUAGUAGAUACAAUUUGUAUUUUGAUGAUAUUUUGGACUAUUUAGUUAGUAACAUUUAUAUACUAUGGAAUUUGGUUAGUAACUUUAUCAUGUACUAUGGAUAAUUAGUAACAUUAUCGUGUACGAUGGAUUUUAACUAUGUACUUCUAGAUUUGUAUAGGUUAAUUUCAAUGUUACAUAGA